GACGUAGGAUGCAAGCGUUGUCCGGAAUUAUUGGGCGUAAAGAGUUCGUAGGCGGUUAUCUAAGUCCGGUGUUAAAGACGGGAGCUCAACUCCCGCAUGGCAUUGGAAACUGGAUAGCUGGAGUGCAGUAGAGGUCACGGGAAUUCCAGGUGUAGCGGUGAAAUGCGUAGAUAUCUGGAGGAACACCAGUGGCGAAAGCGCGUGACUGGGCUGUAACUGACGCUGAGGAACGAAAGCCAGGGUAGCGAAAGGG
rnacentral:rRNA from 1 species